CCUACGGGAGGCAGCAGUGAGGAAUAUUGGUCAAUGGGCGAGAGCCUGAACCAGCCAAGUCGCGUGAGGGAGUACUGCCCUAUGGGUUGUAAACCUCUUUUGUCGGGGAGCAAAAGCCGGACGUGUCCGGCUGUGAGAGUACCCGAAGAAAAAGCAUCGGCUAACUCCGUGCCAGAAGCCGCGGUAAUACGGAGGAUGCGAGCGUUCUCCGGAUUUAUUGGGUUUAAAGGGUGCGCAGGCGGGUUAUUAAGUCAGCGGUCAAAGCGUGGGGCUCAACCCCGUGCAGCCGUUGAAACUGGGGAUCUAGAGUGUGCGAGAGGAAUGCGGAAGGCGUGGUGUAGCGGUGAAAUGCAUAGAUAUCACGCAGAACCCCGAUUGCGAAGGCAGCAUACCGGUGCACAACUGACGCUCAGGCACGAAAGCGUGGGUAUCGAACAGGAUUAGAUACCCGAGUAGUC
rnacentral:rRNA from 1 species